UGCAGAAUCCCGUGAACCAUCGAGUCUUUGAACGCAAGUUGCGCCCGAAGCCAUUAGGCUAAGGGCACGCCUGCCUGGGUGUCA
rnacentral:rRNA from 1 species